rnacentral:pre_miRNA from 1 species
CCCUUCAUUUGCAUUUCUAAGUUGUAUGUAAGAAUUGGAUGGAACUAAACAGAUUAGUAAGAUCAAAAUAUUCAGUUGCUGUUUAGUUUCCUCCAAUAUCUUAUCUCCAGCUUCUAAACUAUAUAUAUAAACC